rnacentral:sRNA from 1 species
GUCACUGAAGGAGAGAAGAAUGUUGAAUCUGCAUGGAAUAUCAGGAAACUGAGUCCAACACUAUGCUGGUUUGAGGUAAGAUGUAAACAGGAACUGAAACACUUACUUCAUAUAGAAUCUUACUACUCCAAAAA